AUUGAACGCUGGCGGCAGGCCUAACACAUGCAAGUCGAGCGAGCGGCGGACGGGUGAGUAAUUUCUGGGAAACUGCCUGAUGGAGGGGGAUAACUACUGGAAACGGUAGCUAAUACCGCAUCCCAUCGUAUGUGCCCAGGUGGGAUUAGCUAGUAGGUGGGGUAACGGCUCACCUAGGCGACGAUCCCUAGCUGGUCUGCGAGGAUGACCAGCAACACUGGAACUGAGACACGGUCCAGACUCCAACGGGAGGCAGCAGUGGGGAAUAUUGGACAAUGGGCGCAAGCCUGAUGCAGCCAUGCCGCGUGUGUGAAGAAGGCCUUCGGGUUGUAAAGCACUUUCAGCGGGGAGGCGUUACCCGCAGAAGAAGCACCGGCUAACUCCGUGCCAGCAGCCGGGUAAUAC
rnacentral:rRNA from 1 species